UCAGGGGUAAGGCUCACUUCGGUGAGUACACGACCGGCGCACGGGGUGCGUAACGCGUAUGCAAACCUACCUUUAACAGAGGGAUAGCCCCGAGAAAUCGGGGAUUAAUACCACAUAACACCACAUUGUUUCAUGGACAGCGUGGUUAAAGCUCCGGCGGUUAAAGAUGGGGCAUGCGUGACAUUAGCUAGGUUGGUAAGGUAACGGCUUACCAAGGCUACGAUGUCUAGGGGGUUCUGAGAGGAUGAUCCCCCACACUGGUACUGAGACACGGACCAGACUCU
rnacentral:rRNA from 1 species